CAUUUAGGCUGUACCUUGCUGAUUUUAUCUGUCCAUGGAAGCUAAGCAGGAGGGGGUCUGGUUAGAGCUGUAGUGGGAAACCACCUGAGAAUACCGGGAACUGUAGGA
rnacentral:rRNA from 1 species